rnacentral:rRNA from 1 species
GACGAACGCUGGCGGCGUGCUUAACACAUGCAAGUCGAACGGUGAAGCGCCUUCCUUUUUGGUGGGUGUGGAUGAGUGGCGAACGGGUGAGUAACACGUGAGUAACCUGCCCCCUUCUUCUGGAUAACCGCAUGAAAGUGUGGCUAAUACGGGAUAUUCUGGGUCUGUCGCAUGAUGGGUCUGGGAAAGAUAUUGUUUCGGUGGGGGAUGGGCUCGCGGCCUAUCAGCUUGUUGGUGGGGUGAUGGCCUACCAAGGCGGUGACGGGUAGCCGGCCUGAGAGGGUGGACGGUCACACAGGGACUGAGACACGGGCCAGACUCCUACGGGAGGCAGCAGUGGGGAAUAUUGCACAAUGGGCGCAAGCCUGAUGCAGCGACGCCGCGUGAGGGAUGGAGGCCUUCGGGUUGUGAACCUCUUUCGCCAGUGAAGCAGGCCUGCCUCGUUUGUGGGUGGGUUGACGGUAGCUGGAUAAGAAGCGCCGGCUAACUACGUG